rnacentral:rRNA from 1 species
ACAGAGGGUGCGAGCGUUAAUCGGAAUUACUGGGCGUAAAGGGUGCGUAGGUGGUUGAAUUAGUUAGGUGUGAAAUUCCUGGGCUUAACCUGGGGACUGCGCCUAAUACUGUUUAGCUAGAGUAUUGUAGAGGAAAGUGGAAUUUCCGGUGUAGCGGUGAAAUGCGUAGAUAUCGGAAGGAACAUCAGUGGCGAAGGCGACUUUCUGGACAAAUACUGACACUGAGGCACGAAAGCAUGGGGAGCAAACAGG